AUUCCUACGGGAGGCAGCAGUGGGGAAUAUUGGACAAUGGGCGAAAGCCUGAUCCAGCCAUGCCGCGUGUGUGAAGAAGGCCUUUUGGUUGUAAAGCACUUUAAGCGAGGAGGAGGCUACCGAGAUUAAUACUCUUGGAUAGUGGACGUUACUCGCAGAAUAAGCACCGGCUAACUCUGUGCCAGCAGCCGCGGUAAUAAU
rnacentral:rRNA from 1 species